rnacentral:sRNA from 1 species
GAAGAUAUGAGAAAAUUCAUGGAAGAAGUAAGGAAAAGGAGAGAGCUAGUCUAGAUAAAAAAAGAGAUAAAGACUACAGAAGGAAAGAGAUCUUGCCUUUUGAAAAGAUGAAGGAACAAAGGUUGAGAGAACAUUUAGUUCGUUUUGAAAGGCUGCGACGAGCAAUGGAACUUCGAAGGAACGUCGUAAGGAAGCUGAACGGAUUGCUCGAGAAAGAGAGGAACUCAGAAGGCAACAACAGCAGCUUCGUUAUGAACAAGAAAAAAGGAAUUCCUUGAAACGCCCACGUGAUGUAGAUCAUAGGUAGUUACUCAUUUUAUUCCUUAACAGUUAACCUUGCUGUUUUAUUCCCUUUAGGCUAAGACUAGAGAAUUAGAAAGUACAGGCUCCCAUCACUGGAAUAAAAGUCAUGAUCAACAGGGAUGGGAAGGAUUACAGUACUGGGGUAGACCCAGUGCACUGGCAAGUGGGAACAGUCUGUGUUUCUUUCCCUGUCUACCUUUCUGAUGCCAAAUGUUUUUCAUUAUGACUGGAAAUACAUUGUCAUAGUAGGCUUCAAUAAUAAUUAAACAGAUUUUGAACAUUCUUA